rnacentral:rRNA from 1 species
GAUGAACGUUGGCGGCGUGCCUAAUACAUGCAAGUCGAGCGAACGGACGAGAAGCUUGCUUCUCUGAUGUUAGCGGCGGACGGGUGAAUAACACGUGGAUAACCUACCUAUAAGACUGGGAUAACUUCGGGAAACCGUAGCUAAUACCGGAUAAUAUUUUGAACCGCAUGGUUCAAAAGUGAAAGACGGUCUUGCUGUCACUUAUAGAUGGAUCCGCGCUGCAUUAGCUAGUUGGUAAGGUAACGGCUUACCAAGGCAACGAUGCAUAGCCGACCUGAGAGGGUGAUCGGCCACACUGGAACUGAGACACGGUCCAGACUCCUACGGGAGGCAGCAGUAGGGAAUCUUCCGCAAUGGGCGAAAGCCUGACGGAGCAACGCCGCGUGAGUGAUGAAGGUCUUCGGAUCGUAAAACUCUGUUAUUAGGGAAGAACAUAUGUGUAAGUAACUGUGCACAUCUUGACGGUACCUAAUCAGAAAGCCACGGCUAACUACGUG